rnacentral:lncRNA from 1 species
AGAGAGGCGUAGCUACAAAUAAGCCUAUAGUAAAUAUAGAAAGUGUAUUGUAGUCUACAAGAGUAGAUUUAAUUUGUGUCAUGUUGUAAACUUGACUUGCACUCCAAGAGUUAGUUUUUACAUAUAGUUUAAAAAAAAAAAGUGCAUUACACUAGCUUCAAGAUGAGUAGUAUAGAUGAAUAGGAACAUUUACAUUAUUCACUGAAACAAUUGAAUAACCAAUAGGGAACUGUUAUUAGCACUCCAAAAAUCUCAUUCUACACUUCUCACAAGUAUAUUUUUCCUUCUAAUUAUAGAAAGUUUGGAGUGCGAAAUGAGAUUUUUGGAGUCCCAAUAACAAUUCCUUAACCAAUAUUAUCUUAUGUUGUUAUGUGGUAUAUGCUUUAGUUUGGACCAAAAAUAAUUGGUUUGAGCCAAAUGUAACUAUAGGCUGGACUUGACAAAGAGCGAAGAUUUUCAGCCCAUGUCUUAUAUUUCUGAAACUUGAAGUCCAACCCAAUAUAGGAUGGCCGAAUCCUAAUGGGUGAAGGACUCUUAAGGAGUCAGGUUGAAAUGAUUUGACUGAGUCAUAAUAUGAGUAAAAUUGUUAAAGGAUCAGAGUAAACAUUGAUGUGAUUCGUAAUAUUCCAAUAUCAAGGUUCAUAACUGAUCAAGUCCAAGAGUGGAUUGAAAACAGAAAAAUGAUUGAGUUCAGAUACCUAGAUCUAGUAGUAGUGGCCUGGCUCUAUGGGCAGAUCAGGAUAGCUUGAUAAGAGUUUGGAUCAGGGAAUGCUAAGAGAAGUAUAAUCCAAGAUGGACUCUACUACUCAGUAUAAAUUGAUCAGCACGAAAGUCACUCUUAUAAAUAGAAGAGAUUAUGUAACAUUCCAAGGACUUUCAACCCAACACAUAAAAUUGCCUUGCACAAAUUCUCAUUCUAUGCGAAACCCUCUCAAACCUUUUAAGAAAAAAACUAACCUUCCUAACUUCAUCAAUGCAUCUUCAAGUUGGAUUAACAACAAUGUGUUGACAACUGGCGAGGUCUUCAAUUUGGAUUAAUAACACUAGAGUUGUAAAAUUAGGUAAUCGGUGAGCACUAGAGGUGG